GAUGUGCUUUAGAGCUAUGAUCCUGCAUAAUAUCAGUUGAAAAGAUUUUAAUAUUCCCAACUAGUGAAAAAUCAGCGUCAUUUAUUUAUUCAUGAGCAAGUGUGCACAAAUGAAAACAUGGCCAUCUGAACAUUCCUUUUAUAAAGUCAGAGAUAUAUUGCUCGCAUGCAAAGACACACAUACAAGAUGAUCUCACCUUUGGCAUGUACAGAUCUAUUA
rnacentral:misc_RNA from 1 species